CAGCCAAUACAACAUUUCUAUAUCCACGACUACAUCCUGCGUAAUUCACAGGGGCAAACGAAAAUACGCAGGAUGUAGUUGUGAAUAUAAAAAUGGUGUAUUGGGUG
rnacentral:pre_miRNA from 1 species